AAAUCACUCAAGCUUAGGUUUACCUAUUGCUUGGUCUUGGAGAUGGAAGCCAAUUCAUUGGAAUCCUCUUCGAAAUUCAAUGGCGAAGACCCUUGCUCUCCCAAGUGUAGUAAUAACUUAUGUCACUGAAGGAAGCGAGAAAUCUUCUGCCGUAACCCCCAUAUUUUCUAU
rnacentral:misc_RNA from 1 species